ensembl:lncRNA
UAACCUCAGAAGUCACAUUCUAUAGAAUCCUCUUAGUAAAGGCAGGUCAGCCUUUUUUAGUGGGAGAGGGGUUACAGAAGUGCAGGAGUACCUGAAGGAAUCAGUGGAGGCGUCUGGGACGCUGGCCAUCACAGGGGUCUUCGGGAAGGCAAGGGAGUUUCACUGGAAAACCAUAGCCCAAGCCAAUAUUUUGAAUAUUGUCUGUCAGCUUUUUGGUUGCUGAAUCUCAGUCCUGGGAGUCAUUUCUUCAAAGACUAAACAACAAAUUUUUUUCUUGUUUGAGGAUGUUGGGAGCCUGGUGGUUUCUGAGCCAACAAGCACAUAUACAUAUGUGUGUGAAGCCUGGGAAUGAGACGGCAAGUUUUUGGUACCUUCAGGUAGCACCUUUCUCCAAGGAGCUCAGAAAGCUGCAUGAACAUUAUUCAGCAUUAUAUAUGGUGCUUCUGUUCUCACGUGUUUGUUUGAAUUGUUCAGUUCUGCUUCCACUGUGGUUUCUUUUUUUCCCGUUUUUCUCCUGUUGCUACUUGCAGUUAUAAUGUUCUGGUAUAUCCAUUUACUAAAGUGACUCAAGACUUAUGUUUUAGGAAUCUAGAAUACCAAGAUAGCAUGCUGAAAAAAAGAAGUUUUUUAUAUGAUUGCAACCUAGUGAUUCAGCCUUUUAUAUAUUACAUAUUGAAUAAAUGUAUGAACAUUCUCA